rnacentral:rRNA from 1 species
UACGUAGGUGGCAAGCGUUGUCCGGAUUUACUGGGCGUAAAGAGCGCGCAGGCGGUCGGAUAAGUCGAAUGUGAAAGCCCCCGGCUUAACUGGGGAGGGUCAUUCGAUACUGUUCGACUCGAAGGCAGGAGAGGGAAGCGGAAUUCCCGGUGUAGUGGUGAAAUGCGUAGAUAUCGGGAGGAACACCAGUGGCGAAGGCGACUUCCUGGCCUGUUCUUGACGCUGAGGCGCGAAAGCUAGGGGAGCAAACGGG